ensembl:lncRNA
GUCCCCACUCUGGCUGCUCCCGGUGUCCCCUGCGUUUGGCUGGUUUGGAGUUUGCAGGAAUUCUUGGGAUUGGCCACUCCGUGUCCAUCGGGCUCCUGGUGGGGACAUCCCAAAAGUGGGGACAUCCCAAAAGUGGGGACAUCCCAAAAGUGGGAACAUCUCAGAAUGGGGACAUCCCAAAAGUGGGGACAUCUCAGAAUGGGGACAUCCCAAAAGUGGGGACAUCUCAGAAUGGGGACAUCCCAAAAGUGGGGACAUCCCAGAGGAGCAGGACCAUCCUGGGGUCAGCGCAUUCUGGUCCCAUGGGCCAUCCUGGGAUCGGAUCAUUCCAAUGUUGGAGGAUCUGAUGGAACGUUCUGGUGUUGGAAAAUUCUGGUCCUGGAUCCCUCUGGGCAUCCCAGUAAUGGGGCAUCCCCAGGGUGGAACGUUCCGGAAUGGAGCAUCCUGGUGUGGGACCAUCGCAGGGAUGGAGCGUCCUGGUGUGGGAUCUCCUGUUGUGGGGUUGUCCUGCUCUGGGAUCCUCUGCUGUGGGAUCUCCUGCUGUGGGAUCUCCUGUGGGAUCUCCUGUGGGAUCUCCCGUGGGAUCUCCUGCUAUGGGAUCUUCUGUGGGAUCUCCUGCUGUGGGAUCUCCUGCUGUGGGUUUUUCCUGCUGUGGGAUCUCCUGCUAUGGGAUCAUUGUGGGAUCUCCUGCUGUGGGAUCUCCUGUGGGAUCUACUGUGGGAUCUCCUGCUGUGGGAUCAUCCCAUUGUGGGAUCUUCUGCUGUGGGAUCUCCUGUUGUGGGUUCAUGCUGCUCUGGGAUCAACUCCUGUGGGAUCUUCUGCUGUGGGAUCAUCCCAGUAUCAGAGCAUCCCCAUGAUGGAACAUUCUGGUAUCGGAGCAUCCUGGUCUCAGAGCGUGCCAGUGUCACAACAUCCCAGUAUGGAGCAUCCCAGUAUGGAGCAUCCCAGUAUGGGACCAUCCCAGUGUGGAACAUCCCAGUAUGGGACCAUCCCAGUAUGGAACAUCCCAGUGUGGAACAUCCCAGUAUGGAACAUCCCAGUGCUGGACCAGAGCGGGGCUGGAGCAUCCCAGUAUGGAGCAUCCCAGUAUGGAGCAUCCCAGUAUGGAACAUCCCAGUAUGGGAUCAUCCCAGUAUGGAACAUCCCAGUGUGGGACAUCCCAGUAUGGAGCAUCCCAGUAUGGGACCAUCCCAGUAUGGAACAUCCCAGUAUGGGAUCACCCUGGUGUGGGAACAUCUUGGUGCCAGAGAUCCGAGUGAUGGAACAGCCCAGUGCCAAUCCAUCCCAGUCCAUCCCAGUGCCAAUCCAUCCCAGUCCAUCCCAGUGCCAAUCCAUCCCAGUGCCAGCCUAUCCCAGUCCCACUCCAUCCCAGUAAUGGAGCAUCCCAGUGCCAAUCCAUCCCAGUGCCAGUUUAUCCCAGUACCAAUCCAUCCCACUCCCAGUUUAUCCCAUUAUCAGCCCAUCCCAGUACCAGUUUACCCAAUACCAGUUUAUCCCAGUGCCAGUUUACCCAAUACCAGUCCAUCCCAGUGCCAGCCCAUCCCAGUGCCAGUUUAUCCCAUUAUCAGCCCAUCCCAGUGCUGGCCCAUCCCGAGGGGAAACUGAGGCAGGCUGUGGGCGGAGCGGGUGGCAGUGGCAGUGUUGGGGUCCCGCUGCGCCCCCGGGAGGACACUG